rnacentral:tRNA from 1 species
GCCUGGGUGGCUCAGUCGGUUGAGCGUCUGACUUCUGCUCAGGACAUGAUCUCGCGGUUCACAAGUUCGAGCCCUGCGUCGGGCU